GCGACCUUAGCUCAGCUGGGAGAGCGUCAGACUGAAGUCUAUAACUUCAAUCGCCUGUUAUCUGAAGGUCGUGUGUUCGAUCCACACAGGUCGCA
rnacentral:tRNA from 1 species